AUGCCAACUGCAGUUAAACUCCAGAGGAAGUGCUUGCAGAUACGUGGCUUCCUGAGGACACAACUUUCUGUUUCAUCACUAAUCCUCCAGCAUUGUUGUUUUGGUGGCGCAGGCUUCUUCCUUGAUACAUCUUCACAUCUUUUUUCAGUGCACCUCCAGACUGAAUUUUUCAUUUUCCUGACAAAUAAAAACAACUGGACUAUCUGGAUCUGUGCUGGUGGAAGUUGGCAUAAUGGCAAAACAAACAGUACCAGCAGUUUGCAUCUUAGUGCUUUUAUUCGUCACAGUCUUUACUCAAGUGAUAGUUGGUUGGAACUCCAACGAAGACUGUCCAGGAAUUCCCUUCAUCCCUAUUUAUCUUUGUGGACCCAUCAUUGCCUUCUUUGCAUGGUGUAUGUACAGGUCAUGUAACCUGCUUUGUUUGUCCGUGACCACCCUCUUCUUCAUUUGCUGGUACAUUGCUGGUAAGCUUUAAGGGUUUUACUCAAUUUCUGACCACAGCAGGCAGCUCUUGAAAAAUAACAUGAAGCCUGCACAGAAGAAAAUACCAGAUUAAGCAAGCAAAAAGUAUGACAGAGAAAGAAAACAUAAAGCAAAACUAUAAGCAUAGUUAAUAUAGGAAUUAUUCAAGUAACCAAGUGAUAAGUUCAAUCCUAAACCUAAACCUGACCAGUUUACUCUGGAAAUGGACAUUUUUAACAUCAAGGAGACCUUAAAUUGG
rnacentral:lncRNA from 1 species